GGUUGACCUCGGAUCAGGCAGGGAUACCCGCUGAACUUAAGCAUAUCAAUAAGCGUAGGACAAGAAACCAACAGGGAUUGCCCCAGUAACGGCGAGUGAAGCGGCAAGA
rnacentral:rRNA from 1 species